AAUUUUAUCUUGGGCUUUUGACGAACGCUGGCGGCAUGCCUAAUACAUGCAAGUCGAGCGAACAGAUGAAGUGCUUGCACUUCUGACGUUAGCGGCGAACGGGUGAGUAACACGUAAGGAAUCUACCUAUAAGCGGGGGAUAACAUUCGGAAACGGGUGCUAAUACCGCAUAAUAUCUUCUUCCGCAUGGAAGAAGAUUGAAAGACGGCUCUGCUGUCACUUAUAGAUGACCUUGCGGUGCAUUAGUUAGUUGGUGGGGUAACGGCCUACCAAGACGAUGAUGCAUAGCCGACCUGAGAGGGUGAUCGGCCACAUUGGGACUGAGACACGGCCCAAACUCCUACGGGAGGCAGCAGUAGGGAAUCUUCCGCAAUGGGCGAAAGCCUGACGGAGCAAUGCCGCGUGAGUGAAGAAGGCCUUCGGGUCGUAAAACUCUGUUAUAAGAGAAGAACAAAUUGUAGAGUAACUGCUACAGUCUUGACGGUAUCUUAUCAGAAAGCCACGGCUAACUACGUGCCAGCCGCCGCGGUAAUUCC
rnacentral:rRNA from 1 species